GCCACGUGCGCUCUGUUUACAUCGCAAUGGCUCGUAGAAACCCAGUCGUUCAAGCCUUUCAGUUUGACCCAGAAUCGGAUCCGGAUUACGAAUCACCUGAAGAAGUUGGUUCUCAGCGGCUACAGCAGGACGUCUCUGAAUGGUGCCGUUGUGGAAAAUGUGCGACCAUGCCCACAGAAGAGGAGAAUAUUUGCUGCAUGGAGAUACCGCAGGUUACUAGAAGACUACGGGAGGUCGAACUACAUCCAACGUGUAUGGUUGACCAUCCUGGAUUGGAGCCGGUCUGCCUAAAUGUUUACUCUAUUCAGAAUGCCAGCCAAAUAUAUAGAGCCGACUAUGGUCCUCUAAAUUUGAGAAGAAUACACAAUCGCUACAGGUAUCUCUCCUAUCGUUCCUUUGUGAGCUGGUGCUGGG